rnacentral:pre_miRNA from 1 species
CCAUUAACUAUUAAAAGCUUCGUUUAGGUCCGUUAACUUACUUUUUGGUUUCGUUUUGAUCCCUGAACUCAUCCUCCGUCAACCACUUUGGUCCUUUAUGUUAAGAUGAAUGUAUUAGAGUUAAGGGAUCAAAAUGAAACAAAAAAAUAAGUUUAGAGACCAAAACGAAACCAAAAAAUAAGUUAAGGGAUCAAAACGAAACUUUUAAUAGUUAAGGGA